AUACUCCGAGAACUGAAAGGCUUUUUGAAGUCUUCGGAUGGAUAGAAGAACCCCUGAUGCCGUCGAGCCAAGAAAAGUUUCUAAGUUUAGCUAAUGUUGCCCGUACCGUAAACCGACACAGGUGGGUGGGAUGAGUAUUCUAAGGCGCGUGGAAGAACUCUCUUUAAGGAACUCUGCAAAAUAGCACCGUAUCUUCGGUAUAAGGUGUGGUUCGCUUCGUAUUAGGAUUUACUCCGAAAGCGAAGAAACUUACAACAAAGAGUCCCUCCCGACUGUUUACUAAAAACACAGCACUCUGCUAACUCGUAAGAGGAUGUAUAGGGUGUGACGCCUGCCCGGUGCUCGAAGGUUAAUUGAUGGGGUUAGCAUUAGCGAAGCUCUUGAUCGAAGCCCGAGUAAACGGCGGCCGUAACUAUAACGGUCCUAAGGUAGCGAAAUUCCUUGUCGGUUAAAUACCGACCUGCAUGAAUGGCGUAACGAGAUGGGAGCUGUCUCAAAGAGGGAUCCAGUGAAAUUGUAGUGGAGGUGAAAAUUCCUCCUACCCGCGGCAAGACGGAGAGACCCCGUGGACCUUUACUACAGCUUGACACUGCUAUUUGGAUAAGAAUGUGCAGGAUAGGUGGGAGGCUUUGAGUAUAUGACGCCAGUUGUAUAUGAGCCAUUGUUGAGAUACCACUCUUUCUUAUUUGGGUAGCUAACCAGCUUGAGUUAUCCUCAAGUGGGACAAUGUCUGGUGGGUAGUUUGACUGGGGCGGUCGCCUCCCAAAUAAUAACGGAGGCUUACAAAGGUUGGCUCAGAACGGUUGGAAAUCGUUCGUAGAGUAUAAAGGUAUAAGCCAGCUUAACUGCAAGACAUACAAGUCAAGCAGAGACGAAAGUCGGUCUUAGUGAUCCGGUGGUUCUGUGUGGAAGGGCCAUCGCUCAAAGGAUAAAAGGUACCCCGGGGAUAACAGGCUGAUCUCCCCCAAGAGCUCACAUCGACGGGGAGGUUUGGCACCUCGAUGUCGGCUCAUCGCAUCCUGGGGCUGGAGCAUGUCCCAAGGGUAUGGCUGUUCGCCAUUUAAAGCGGUACGCGAGCUGGGUUCAGAACGUCGUGAGACAGUUCGGUCCCUAUCUGCCGUGGGCGUAAGAAGAUUGAAGAGAUUUGACCCUAGUACGAGAGGACCGGGUUGAACAAACCACUGGUGUAGCUGUUGUUCUGCCAAGAGCAUCGCAGCGUAGCUAAGUUUGGAAAGGAUAAACGCUGAAAGCAUCUAAGCGUGAAGCCAACUCUAAGAUGAAUCUUCUCUAAGCUCUCUAGAAGACUACUAGUUUGAUAGGCUGGGUGUGUAAUGGAUGAAAGUCCUUUAGCUGACCAGUACUAAUAGAGCGUUUGGCUUAUCUUUAAUAAAGCAU
rnacentral:rRNA from 1 species